GCCCAUAAAAGUUAUUGUUAUACAGACUUGGUAGGCCUAAUUGACAUAGAUCAUUCUCUUCUUAAUUUGUCUUUUGUAAUCAGUAAUGGCGAUUACAUUUUUCUCUAACGAACUUUUAACCUGAUAUUGCUUUCAUUCUUUAUGCUAUGGAUAUGAAUUAUAAUAAUAGCCUAUGAUCAGCCGUUAACGUUAGCUAGUCAACGUUAGCUAACUGACGUCCGUUUAAAACUUGCUGGCUUAUAACCCGAUUCUGGUUACCUAAUGUUGGGCCUGCUAACGACGUUUAUUCCAUAAUUAUGAAUAUAUUUUAUUCAGGGGGUGUCCUAGCUCCAGCUGCAAUGGUCGCUGACAUGCAUUGGACGCACCCAGUGAUGGGGAGUGCUGGUGGACAGGAUCUGCGCGUCCUAUCAGAAAGUGAGUCAGACCUUCGGCAGUGAGCCAGUCAAAGAAAUGAGUGAAGCGAUAGUGCCCGUCAUCCUGUCUAUCCUCCGCCAGCCCAGCGUAAAAGAGACGGAGAGCGGAAAAGAACAACGACGAACCAUUGAAUCAACAGAGGACGUGUUGGCUCUCCAAUAAGAAGUUUUGCUGUAUCAGAGAUGUAGAAAUAGAUACAUUGCUUCAGAAAAUUAGAAAUAGAUAAAUUCGAAAUAGAAGUUACAUUGACAUUGACUGACGAGGUCCUUCCAUUUAAUAAAUACUAUUCGUCAUUAAAUGUGUAUUGCCAUUUC